CUUUGUGAAGCUAUUACAGAAAGAGCUCCAAACCCCACCAUAAACACUCCUUGAAAGUCUUGAUUCAGCUUUAUGCAAUGGUGUUGUAGUUACGGAAUAACUUACGUUGGCAGGGAUCUCGGGACAUGGUCUGUUCAUAGCCCCUGCUCAGGGUCAGGUUAACUUCAAUGUUAGAUCAAGUUGCCCAGGGCCUUAUCUAAUUAAGAUGUGAAUCUCUCUGAGGAUGGACACUCCACAGCCACUCUGGGCAACUCAUCCCAGUUCAUCCUCAUAAAAAUUGUUUUUCUUAGUACCCAGUCAUAAUUUUGCUUGAAGCAGUGUCUCUUGGUGUCUGUUGUUUCUUGUCCUUUCAUUGUGCUCCUCAGAGAAGAGUCUGACUCUGUCUUCUCUAUAACCACCCAUUAGAUAUUUGAAGACAGAAAUGAGAUCCUCUUUUAGCUUUCUUUUUUGCCAGACUAACAAACUUAGUUCUCUCGGUCUGUGCUUGUCCAUCAUGCACUCCAAUUCCUUAUGCUCUUAUAGAAAUGAUGGAACUUCAGGGAAAAGCAUCACACUAAACUGAACCAAGAGUUCACUGUCCUGCCUCUGAUCAAUAAACAAGACAGGUGUGAAACCCUAUACCAGGAAAUGAUGCAGUAACAUAUAAGUGGAUGAAACAAGUUACUUGGGACCUGGGGAUAUGUUCUUACUCCUAAAUAUAGGAAGUAAUUAUAAGCAUGUCUGUUAUUAGCAAUUUAAGAUGUCAGGUGAAUGCCAUUAGCAUUUCAGGUUUCAGUUGCGAACAUAAUACUAUUCUGGGAGCCUUUGUUGAUUUCAGUAGAUUCUGUAUAGACACAGGGUCUGUCUUACCCAUUGCACAAGUAACGCCGUAAGUAUUUAGCUCUGAAAUGUUUUCUGUAGCUAACAAUGGCUGUUUUGUUUUACACACACACGCACAUGCACGUAUAGUUUUGUAUAGUUUUGAAUAUUCUGAUAUGCUAUAAUGCAAAGGUAUGUUUUCAAGCUAAAAAUCUAAGAAGAGAAAAGUUAUUUUAAAAAAUUGGAUGUAAGCAAAAAGAAUUUUGUGGUGUCUAGAAAGCUUCUGAAGAAUAGCUGGGAUUCUUUUUAGAGCUGCUCUGUGGUUGUGUGCAUAGGGAAGCACGUACAUCAUCUUAGAUUUAAAGCAGUUAUCUAUAAGACAAUUAAAGGAGCACAUAGAUUGCUUGAAAGCUUGUCUGGCUUAUAUUUAAUUGUUCCAAAAUUCUGGGAGACCUGCAGCUCAAGGACACCAUCUCAUUGUAAAGAAAACCAGAAGUGAACUUGCUUCUCUACAUCAAGCGUGAUUUUUCCAGUCAGGGUCUUCAUGAAGGAGAAUCAUAAAUCUGGAAAAUUAUAAGAUCUUUCCCCAUCAAGGUCAAGCCACAAAUCUAAGUCACCAGGUCUCUUGCUUGGUAUGUAUGUUUUCUGUUUCUUAGAGCUAAACUUCCAAGAAGCGACCCUUUAAAUGCUAUCCACAGUAAUUUUAGCAGCAAGUGUGAAUUUUACCCUCUCUGUGGUAUGAGUUACUUAAAACAAAUGCCUGAUAAAAGACCUUCUUGCAACAGACAGAGGGAACAUGUAAAGGAACCUGUUAGCCUGAUAAUCUCUCCAUUUGAAAAUUUCAACUAUUUUGCCACUUCAUACAUCUACGUUCAUGUAUACAUUUGUAUAUAUACCUACACGCACACACUCAUGAUACUAUUUCAGUGCACCUUUUCUCCUUGGGACUUCCCAAAUGCUGCAGAACAGAGAGAGGAGAAUACAACAACCUGAUGUCUAGGAGAAGUCAAAUGUAAUGAAGCACAUUAUACCAGUGCUCAUGCUUUCUCUGCUGAAAUUAUCAUCAGCAACUUGCUUUUAUCUGCAGUGCUCUGAGUGAACACCUCUUCUCACUUCAUGAUCUACUUUUUCUUUUCUGCUCUUCUCCUUCCUCUUCCCUCCCACACGCAUUUGCACUGUUCAGCUAGAACAUCUGAAUUCUGCAGUUCUGUGCACCUGCAUGGAGCUGGACUAAUCAAAGCAUAUUUCCCUAGACAGUUGUAUGAUUAGGGCACAUCCAGUGAAGCCAGAAAGGCUCUAGCAAGGCCUGUCUCCAGCUUAGGAGAAGAACAACAUAGAUCUCUAUAAUACUAAUAUAAUACAUCUUCCAAAGUUGAAAAUCUGCAAAAUAUACUUACGAAUGCUGCAGAAAUGACCAUAAAGCAACAGCUAGAGUCACAGUUUCUAACUAUAGAAAACCUAACCUCGCACCUCAUUAACUGUGGAGGGGAGGAGGGAGUUACUAGCAACUGUGUAUAGCAUAGGUAGGACGAAUGUAUGUUUAAGCUGCAAGCCACAACACACCAAGACAUAACACACAUUCCACCCACUGUACCGCUGACAGAGUGGCAUUAAGAAGGGCUAUUUAAUGGAGUAUUUUCUCCUAUACAGCAUGUUGUUCAACUCCUUUCUUGUCAACUGAAAGCCAUCCACAAGCUAAAACAGCAGCCCCAGGCCACGGAGAGAGAGAUUGAGAGAGAGAGAUGUGCUUUCAGCACUUUGACUGGACAGAACUUCAAAUUUCUGCACACUUCUGCAACCUCACCAUUGCCCCAGAGCAGGUUUAGUUGGUUUUGCAGAACCUGGGAGUCAAUGUCACUUAUGCUUCUGUUCAGUGCAAGUCUUAAAUCAUCAGAUAUAUCUUGACAAGAGCUAAGAAACCAGCUUAUCAAUUUAGAAGAACCUGAGGCAAGUGACUGAAAAAGUUGUGCUGAAUCUCUAAAGCAGUACUUGGUUGAGAAUUUGGGUAGCGUUUGCCUGUCACUGUUCUUUUUUUACUUCCAGUAAGAAGGGGCUGGCUCCUGUGGCACAUAAAAAUACACAGCCAAACUGGUGAUGAGUUCUGUGUCUCUGAAGUACAAAAUGAAAUCUGAGAUAUUAGUGAGAUCCUCCAUGUCCCAAAGAUAUCAGUUUUUUCAUCAAACCAGGCCAAGUUUUACAAUGGCAGUUUCUUGACAAGCCACUGAGGAAGAAGUAAUGCCUGCCACAUGUUUAUCUUUGGAGACAUCCGUCUAACUCAUUUGGACAUCCCUAGAGAGAAAAAUCAUGUCAGAGCACGGAGAAGUGUAGGAGAUGGGCUAUCAGAAGAUGACCAACAGCAUCACUGUAAGCAGACCAGCCUUCUAGGCUUCUGGGCUGGUGUUACUGUUGCUUAGACUCAUGUUCUCUCUGGCCUUCGGUAAAUAUGGCACUGCUGUGACUGUCUCCAUGGUGCAGGACACUGUGCUCUAUAUUCAUCAGAUGGGACACUUCAGCACUAUGGUUUUGUCCAGGAAUAACAGGGAAGAAGAUACCAGCAUUGAAGAUAGUAUAUGACUGUAGUCCAGAUUCAACUUGCAACAACUUCCCGAUGAUGAAGUUAUUGUAUAUCAAAGCUAGGGUCUCUGAAGACUGACUGAUGCCACUAUGUCGGUUUUGUUCUGAACACAUCUAUAAUAUAACUAUUAUUACAACCAGUUGUUAUACAGAUAUGUUAUAUAAUGUAAGAUAAGAUUUUGGUCUGUGUUAUAGGACUUCACUUGAACUUGCACCCGAGGAAGCUGGUUUUAAUCUUCUGGAGAGUCUGAUUCACUAAUUUCAUAUGUGGAUUACUAUGUAAAUUUGUGCAACUUUACAGUGUGAUGUUUAGGAAGUCUCUAAAGGACUUAUGAUAUGAAUGAACAAUAAAUGCAAAUAGACUCUU